rnacentral:other from 1 species
CGGGUUCUGGCCUUCUCGUGAGAGGCACAAUCCUAGUGGCCUUAAACAUUCUUGAGGGAGCCGGCUCUGCGACUGGCCUUGGCCUAUCGCACCUGGUGCCCACCUGGUUAUCCAGGCUCUCGAGGAUCUCACGCCUUAACGGUCGCGCCGGGCCCGCC